CCUUCUUUACGCUUGCCGUUACGGAUUACUGACGGAACGGGAAGUUGAACUCUUUGAGAAGAGCGCGUGCUUCGUC
rnacentral:sRNA from 1 species